rnacentral:rRNA from 1 species
GAUGAACGCUGGCGGCGUGCUUAACACAUGCAAGUCGAACGGUAAGGCCCUUCGGGGUACACGAGUGGCGAACGGGUGAGUAACACGUGGGUGAUCUGCCCUGCACUUCGGGAUAAGCCUGGGAAACUGGGUCUAAUACCGGAUAGGACCACUGCCUGCAUGGGGGGUGGUGGAAAGCUUUUGCGGGGUGGGAUGGGCCCGCGGCCUAUCGGCUUGUUGGUGGGGUGAUGGCCUACCAAGGCGACGCCGGGUAGCCGGCCUGAGAGGGUGACCGGCGACACUGGGACUGAGAUACGGCCCAGACCCCUACGGGAGGCAACAGUGGGGAAUAUUGCACAAUGGGCGCAAGCCUGAUGCAGCGACGCCGCGUGAGGGAUGACGGCCUUCGGGUUGUAAACCUCUUUCAGCACCGACGAAGCGCAAGUGACGGUAGGUGCAGAAGAAGGACCGGCCAACUACGUGCCAGCCGCCGCCGUAA